rnacentral:rRNA from 1 species
UACGGAGGGGCUAGCGUUGUUCGGAAUUACUGGGCGUAAAGGGUGCGUAGGCGGCGCGGUAAGUCGGGUGUGAAAUCUCGGAGCUUAACUCCGAAACUGCAUUCGAUACUGCCGUGCUUGAGGACUGGAGAGGAGACUGGAAUUUACGGUGUAGCGGUGAAAUGCGUAGAUAUCGUAAGGAAGACCAGUGGCGAAGGCGGGUCUCUGGACAGUUCCUGACGCUGAGGCACGAAGGUCAGGGAGCAAACGGG